rnacentral:snRNA from 1 species
GUGCUCACUUUGGCAGCACAUAUACAAAAAUUGGAACGAUACAGAGAAGAUUACCAUGGCCCCUGCACAAGGAUGACACGCAAAUUCGUGAAGUAUUUCAUAAAAAA